CCUACGGGAGGCAGCAGUCGAGAAUCAUUCACAAUGGGGGAAACCCUGAUGGUGCGACGCCGCGUGGGGGAAUGAAGGUCUUCGGAUUGUAAACUCCUGUCAUGUGGGAGCAAAUUAAAAAGAUAGUACCACAAGAGGAAGAGACGGCUAACUCUGUGCCAGCAGCCGCGGUAAUACAGAGGUCUCAAGCGUUGUUCGGAGUCACUGGGCGUAAAGCGUGCGUAGGCUGUUUCGUAAGUCGUGAGUGAAAGGCGAGGGCUCAACCCGCGGAAGGCAAAUGAUACUACGAGACUAGAGUAAUGGAGGGGGAACCGGAAUUCUCGGUGUAGCAGUGAAAUGCGUAGAUAUCGAGAGGAACACUCGUGGCGAAGGCGGGUUCCUGGACAUUAACUGACGCUGAGGCACGAAGGCCAGGGGAGCGAAAGGGAUUAGAUACCCCAGUAGUC
rnacentral:rRNA from 1 species